rnacentral:rRNA from 1 species
ACGAACGCUGGCGGCGUGCUUAACACAUGCAAGUCGAACGGAAAGGCCCUGCUUUUGUGGGGUGCUCGAGUGGCGAACGGGUGAGUAACACGUGAGUAACCUGCCCUUGACUUUGGGAUAACUUCAGGAAACUGGGGCUGAUACCGGAUAGGAGCUCCUGCUGCAUGGUGGGGGUUGGAAAGUUUCGGCGGUUGGGGAUGGACUCGCGGCUUAUCAGCUUGUUGGUGGGGUAGUGGCUUACCAAGGCUUUGACGGGUAGCCGGCCUGAGAGGGUGACCGGCCACAUUGGGACUGAGAUACGGCCCAGACUCCUACGGGAGGCAGCAGUGGGGAAUAUUGCACAAUGGGCGGAAGCCUGAUGCAGCAACGCCGCGUGCGGGAUGACAGCCUUCGGGUUGUAAACCGCUUUCGCCUGUGACGAAGCGUGAGUGACGGUAAUGGGUAAAGAAGCACCGGCUAACUACGUG